UUUCAGGUCCUGGCACCCAUGUGAGGAUACCUGGCCAGGGGUCCACUUCCCUGCCCCACUUCAAACCAGACAGCUUUACUGUCUACAGUUCCAAGAAGCUCAGACAAGCAUGGAAUAAGUUGGGCUAUGUGGACCAUGCUGAGGAGUUAGCCUCUAGGUUCCUCCAGUGCUUCCCAAAGAACCGUCUGUCUGCUCAGGCAGCUCUCCAGCACGAGUACUUCAGCCACCUUCCUCCACGGCUCUGGGAGAUCUC